ensembl:snRNA U6 U6 spliceosomal RNA
GGGCCAAUCUUUCUCACACACACAAAAAAACUGGAAUGAUACAGAGAAGACUAGUACAAGCCCUGUGCAAGGAUGACAGACAAAUCCCUAAAGCAUAUUUUUAAAUUU